CUUGCCCUCCUUGCUAUUGUGGCGACCACCGCCACAACUGCAGUUACAGUUCCAGUGCCACAAUUGCAGCCACAAAAUCCAUCUCAGCAACAACCACAAAAGCAAGUUCCAUUGGUGCAACAACAACAAUUUCUAGGGCAGCAACAACCAUUUCCACCACAACAGCCAUAUCCGCAGCCGCAACCAUUUCCAUCACAACAACCAUAUCCACAGCCACAACCAUUUCUGCCACAACUACCAUAUCCGCGUCCGCAACCAUUUCUACCACAACAACCAUAUCCACAACCGGAACCACAGUAUCCGCAACCACAACAACCAAUUUCGCAACAGCAGCAGCAGCAACAACAACAACAACAACAAAUCCUUCAACAAAUUUUGCAACAACAACUGAUUCCAUGCAGGGAUGUCAUCUUGCAACAACACAACAUAGCGCAUGCAAGCUCACAAGUUUUGCAACAAAGUACUUACCAGUUGUUGCAACAAUUGUGUUGUCAGCAGCUGUGGCAGAUCCCCGAGCAGUCGCGGUGCCAAGCCAUCCAGAAUGUUGUUCAUGCUAUUAUUCUGCAUCAACAACAACAACGACAACAACAACAACAACAACAACAACAACAACAACAACAACAACAACAACAACAACAACAACAACAACAACAACAACAACAACAACAGCAGCAACAACCGUCGAGCCAGGUCUCCUUCCAACAGCCUCAGCAACAAUAUCCAUCAGGCCAGGGCUCCUUCCAGCCAUCUCAGCAAAACCCACAGGCCCAGAGCUCUGUCCAACAUCAACAACUACCCCAAUUUGAGGAAAUAAGGAACCUAGCACUGCAGACGCUACCAGCAGUGUGCAAUGUCUACAUCCCUCCAUAUUGCUCGACCACCAUUGCGCCAUUUGGCAUCUUCGGUACUAACUGAGAAGAGAAGAACUCUAGUACUAGAUAUAUGAAACACUGUUUUCUUAGUCCAUGGUUUGGUCAUUGUAGCGGUGAGAAAAUAAAGUGACAUGCACUAUCAUGUAAGAACCCGAACUAUACUAGUUCAAACUUGGGAAUAAAAGACAAACACAGGUCUUGUCUACAUAUGGUUGUUUCUUUGUGUUCCAUUCAUGUGCCCGUUCACAAGUUCACCCCUAAUUAUAUAUAUUAUGCAUUACGUAGAUAUUUAUGUUGCAUUAAUUUACAGAUAAUAAAAUGAGUCUGAAACUUGAAUUAAAUUGAAGUAUUUUCUUGGACUUUCAAAUUGACUAUUAUUAAAGUAGUAAGGACUAUCCACAUCCUUGGCUCGCCCUUGAUCAAUUAAUUCCAGAGAAGCAUUCAAUUCAUCAAUCAAUUACAUUGAUUUUUGUGGCUCGUACUUCUCCUCAACAUGAGUAUAUUCAUUGCAGCUACUUCGAAUCGGCAUGAAUGAGGUACUGGUGCCUGGAGCAGUGCUAGCUGAUUGCCUCUAAUGUGAAGGGGCGUGGGCACAGGAGAGGUGUUUUGGGUGGGCCAGGCGAGUAAGAAGCGGGCCCAUCAGCGGUCCGGACGCCCGCAAAGCCCCGUAGUUUGUUUUCGGUUUACAGGAAAAAAACACAUCCGGACCGGCCUGCGGGCCAAUAUAGGACCGUACGUAUUGGAUGGCAAAACAUGUUCGGAUGGUUGCGAGCAGUUUGAGGGAUAGCUUUAGAGAUAGCCCUUACUUGACCCCUCGUUCCGAAAACAAUUAUGACGAUAGAUUUGCCUCGGUUCAGAAAUAUGUCAGGUUUAACAAAGUUUAUUGGAAUUUUCUUUAUCAUAUCUACAGUACCAUACAAAUACACCAUAGAAAAAGAAGCAUAUUUCAUGAUUCACCAUGAAUUGGCCAGGUAAAUGUUGGGUCUGGAGACUCUAUUCUCUUUUGGCAUGAGUUGCCUAGGUCUCAAAAGUUUCAUGAACCGUUCUCUUUUGCCAUUAAGAAAAAGCCCUCUUUGGCUGAUUUUAUUCAUAGUGAUGAUCUGACUCUCCAUUUUCAUAGGCAUACCACCCUGCAAGCUCUUGCUCAAUUCAUUGACAUCAUUGACUUAGUUCAUAAAAAAAUCAACAAAGGAAUAAAAUAAUAUCACGAAGAUACCAAUUACACCCGUCCUCUCUAUCAACAAGCUAGAUGUCCAAAGACAUCAAGGAUACACACAGCUGGAAAAAAUAAUAGAAGAAAAAAGAUCCCGCCAUGGUGAUCGAUCACUAGCAUCUGUAGCACUCUAACCACCACCAAAGACAACACCCGGAUUACCAAAAAAAUUCUCCAGAAACAACCCCCCAAGAAGGAAACAAUGCACAAGCGUUGUCAUUACCCGAUUGAAGAUCGUGGGUUUUGACCCUAGAAAAAUUUCAAGCUCACCCAAAAACAUUGCCUUCAUCAAGGCCAUUGGCAGGUACAACCAAUAAAGGCUAGACCUUGGAUUUUCACCCUAGGAAUUGAGACUCAGUACUCGAGGAGUACCACCAAAAAUGCAGUCCUCCAGUGAUGGUGCCCCCGCUUGCCGAGGCCGCUAUUUCAAGUCACCAAACACAUGGCGCACAUUCUUCAACGCAUCAAUUACACCCUUCCAGCAAAGCUUCAAGACCUCGAAUUGCAGUCGCGAUGACUUUCUCCACCUCUAUCAAUGCCUUAAGAAUCUUGACUUAGACAUGUCCCAUGACACCAAUAAGAAAUUGAAGCUUCUUGUCGCGCCCUCUUGAGGUCGUGUUGGCUAAUAAUAUGAGCGUGCGCCACCGGAGCCUUUCUGAUCUAGAUAUCCAGGGGCGACAUACACAAAUCUGUAUAGAUAUCCGAUGGGAAAGAGCAAAAUUGGUCACCGGCUAGAUCUAAGAGGUUUGGUCACCGGCUAGAUCUAAGAGGUCGACAUCCGGCAGAAAGGCAACUUGGCGGAAGAACAGUACUAGGGCCAAACCACCAUUAUUACGCUGAGGCUAUCUGUGGUGUCCAAGGCCCAAUGCACCACAUGUCUUCAAAUUGGCCACCAGUAGUAGCCCUUAGAAUAGACAGGGCCAGUUUGCAAAUUUUAAAACAUAGGUUUUUAGCACGCAUGAAAAACAUAAUACGUAUCUUUCCACACAUAAUGAACUAUAGGUACCACCCAAAAAAACAUAAUGAACUAUAGGUUGUCAUCAGAACUCAUGCCAUCCCACAGCCUCCCUCCGACCCUGCCAACAUUAUUGCAGCUGCACUCGCAAGCGUUACCGUGGAUGAUCAUUUGCAUGAUUUCACGUAAAACAAAAUAAGAGCUACAAAUGAAUAAAAGCUACACAUACCUUGGCAUACACACACAUUGCAAGCCAUACUAUGCUGCUAAGUGUUAAUAACUUGUACAACAUAUACAACAGUUAAGACAAGUAAAAGCAAUUUGAUGGGUCAUGUCUAUCAAAGCAAGCUACAUUACUACUUUAAUCUAUCUUAAAUGGGUCACACAUGAUUAUAAUCUUUUUUGUGUGCAACUAAAGCUUAUCUAGUUUACACGUAACAACUUGUACAACAUUACAAAGUUGAUGUUUGCUAAUAACUUCUAGAACACUACGGCACUUGACAUGUAAAAGGAAUUUGAUGAGUCAUGGCCUACUAAAGCAAGUUACAUUACUAGUCUCCUCUAUCUUAACAGGCCACAGAAGAUUACAAACUAGGUUUCGUGCAUGCAAUGCUUAUCUAGUUUACACCUAACAACUUGCAUAACAUUACAAACUUAGUUUGAGAAAAUUAGGUAAUCUAGAUUAGUGUUUGAGUUGUAAAGUGAAUAAGAUGAGUCAUGUGUGUUAUCAUAGAUUUUUGGUGGUGGAAUGAUAGUGCCACCAAACACAACAUAUCAAAUUAUGAUUUCAGGAAGCUUCCAAGCACUUUCUUGGCAAGCAAAUGCCAACUGUGAAGGUGAUUAUGCCAUGGUAGCUAUAAAUAGGACUGUAGCAUGAUGAUCAUCCUUCCUCAUCCAUCAUUCUCGUAAGUAGAGCGCACCAUUCAAGCCAAGCAAGCAGUGGUCAAUACAAAUCCACCAUGAAGACCUUUCUCAUCCUUGCCCUCCUUGCUAUCGCGGCGACCACCGCCACAACUGCAGUUAGAGUUCCAGUGCCACAAUUGUAGCCGCAAAAUCCAUCUCAACAACGACCACAAUAGUAAUUUCCGUUGGUGCAACAACAACAAUUUCCAGGGCAGCAACAACCAUUCCCACCACAACAGCCAUAUCCGCAGCCGCAACCGUUUCUGUCACAACAACCAUAUUCGCAACCGUAACCAUUUCCGCCACAACUACCAUAUCCACAAGCGCAACCAUUUCCAACACAACAACCAUAUCCACAACCGCAACCACAGUAUCCGCAACCACAACAACCAAUUUCGCAGCAGCAGCAGCAGCAACAACAACAACAACAACAACAACAACAACAAAUCCUUCAACAAAUUCUGCAACAACAAAUGAUUCCAUGCAGGGAUGUCGUCUUGCAACAACACAACAUUGCAUAUGCAAGCUCACAAGUAUUGCAACAAAGUAGUUACCAACUGUUGCAACAAUUAUGUUGUCAGCAGCUGUGGCAGAUCCCCGAGCAGUCGCGGCGCCAAGCCAUCCACAGUGUCGUUCAUGCUAUUAUUUUCCAUCAUCAUCAACAACAACAACCGUCGAGCCAGGUCUCCUACCAGCAGCCUCAACAACAAUAUCCAUCAAGCCAGGGCUCCUUCUAGCCAUCUCAGCUAAACCCACAGGCCCAGGGCUCUGUCCAGCCUCAACAACUGCCCCGGUUCAAGGAAAUAAGUAACCUAGCGCUGCAGAUGCUGCCAGCAAUGUGCAAUGUCUACAUCCCUCCAUAUUGCUUGAGCACCAUUGUGCCAUUUGGCAUCUUCGGUACUAACUAAUAAGAGAAGAACUCUAGUACUAGACAUAUGAAACACCGUUUUCUUAGUCCAUGGUUUGGUCGUUGUAGCGGUGAAAAAAUAAAGUGACAUGCACUAUCAUGUAAGAACCCGAACUAUACUAGUUCAAACUUGGGAAUAAAAGACAAACACAGGUCUUGUCUGCAUAUGGUUGUAUGUUUGAGUUCCAUUCAUGUGCCCGUUCACAAGUUCACCCCUAUUUAUAUACAUUAUGCA
rnacentral:lncRNA from 1 species